GGAAAGAUGCUCGAGUGGUUGAAGAGGCACGCCUGGAAAGCGUGUAUACGUCAAAAGCGUAUCCGGGGUUCGAAUCCCCGUCUUUCCG
rnacentral:tRNA from 1 species